rnacentral:rRNA from 1 species
UACAGAGGAGCCAAGCGUUGUCCGGAUUGACUGGGCGUAAAGCGCACGCAGGCGGACGCGCGCGUGGGGUGUGAAAUCUGGCCGCUUAACGGCCAGGCGCCAUCCCAUACGGCGCGUCUGGAGCAAUGCAGAGGUCGGUGGAAUUGCCGGUGUAGUGGUGAAAUGCGUAGAGAUCGGCAGGAACACCCAGGGGGAAGCCAGCCGACUGGGCAUUUGCUGACGCUGAGGUGCGAGAGCGUGGGGAGCGAACCGG